UGGGGAAUUUUCCGCAAUGGGCGAAAGCCUGACGGAGCAACGCCGCGUGAGGGAUGAAGGCCUCUGGGCUGUAAACCUCUUUUAUCAAGGAAGAAGAUCUGACGGUACUUGAUGAAUAAGCCACGGCUAAUUCCGUGCCAGCAGCCGCGGUAAUACGGGAGUGGCAAGCGUUAUCCGGAAUUAUUGGGCGUAAAGCGUCCGCAGGCGGCCUUGUAAGUCUGUCGUCAAAGCGUGGAGCUUAACUCCAUUUAAGCGAUGGAAACUGCAAGGCUAGAGUGUGGUAGGGGCAGAGGGAAUUCCCGGUGUAGCGGUGAAAUGCGUAGAUAUCGGGAAGAACACCAGUGGCGAAGGCGCUCUGCUGGGCCAUAACUGACGCUCAUGGACGAAAGCCAGGGGAGCGAAAGGGAUUAGAUACCCCUGUAGUCCUGGCCGUAAACGAUGAACACUAGGUGUCGGGGGAAUCGACCCCCUCGGUGUCGUAGCCAACGCGUUAAGUGUUCCGCCUGGGGAGUACGCACGCAAGUGUGAAACUCAAAGGAAUUGACGGGGGCCCGCACAAGCGGUGGAGUAUGUGGUUUAAUUCGAUGCAACGCGAAGAACCUUACCAGGGUUUGACAUCCUGCGAAUCCCUUGGAAACGAGGGAGUGCCUUCGGGAGCGCAGAGACAGGUGGUGCAUGGCUGUCGUCAGCUCGUGUCGUGAGAUG
rnacentral:rRNA from 1 species